GAACGGAUCGAUCAGUGCCCAUCGAAAUACAAACAAAUCAUUAGAACACAUCUGCGGAUGACGAAGGACGCGCCACCUGAAGGGAAACUGAAUUCCACUCCUCAAUCGCAUUGCAGUGGCCGGUUUUUGCUUGGAGCACCUGUAGCUCGCUUGUCUGUGUUGUCGCACCACCAGCAGAGGUUUCAGUUUUUGCUUGGAGCACCUGUAGCUCGCUUGUCUGCGUUGUCACAACACCAGCGGAGGUUUCAGUCAGAGGUGAACUUUUCGAAGCCACUGCCUUCAGACGGUACCGUUCUGCUCUGGAGCCAAUGACCUGUCCAAGUACUGAUGCGGCAAUGGUGAACGCCAUGGCUGAUUUAGGCAUCAGCACAGACUUCCGAAGUAAGGCUAUGAAUGGGACAGCCGCAUGCACAGCGGCGAACCAAGAUAGUGAGAAUUUCUUGGUGUGCUCUCUCCAUAUCCCUAAAGGAACAUUGGCUGCCAUGCCCAUCGCUCCAAUCACAAGUACUUUUGCAGGAAGGGGUUGCGGGCGGAG
rnacentral:lncRNA from 1 species